GCUAAUACCGGAUAAUAACAGAUGAUGCCUAUCAACUGUUUAAAAGAUGGUUCUGCUAUCACUCUUGGAUGGACCUGCGGUGCAUUAACUAGUUGGUAGGGUAACGGCCUACCAAGGCGAUGAUGCAUAGCCGAGUUGAGAGACUGAUCGGCCACAUUGGGACUGAGACACGGCCCAAACUCCUACGGGAGGCAGCAGAG
rnacentral:rRNA from 1 species